UUUUUAUACAGAGGCGUGGAGAGACAGGCUCUGCGAAACGCCGGCAACCACCAGCGGGAAGCUUUUCCCGGGAACGGUGCCAAGUCCUGACCAUAUAAAAA
rnacentral:ncRNA from 2 species